rnacentral:lncRNA from 1 species
UGGAUUCGUCAAAACGAUCUUCAGGUUCUCACCACUAAUGCCAUCACGUUCACCACCGACAAACGGUUCUCCGUGGAAGGCUACAAUAAAGGUGCAGCCGCCGUAUGGGAUCUUCACUUGAGUGACGUCACACAAGCGGACGAAGGAGUCUACCAGUGUCAGGUCAACACCAGGCCCAAGAUAUUCCACCCUGUCAGGCUUCACGUUGUUGAGGGUCGGGCCCACAUAGCGGGCCCACAAGAAGUCUACCUCCACGCGGGGUCUCGCCUGCUGCUCACCUGCUGGCUGCUGGCGCCGCCCCAUCCUCCUCCACUUGUAUGGACGCACAACUCCACGGUCCUCAACGACACCACAACGAGGCGAGG